GGACGAACGCUGGCGGCGUGCUUAACACAUGCAAGUCGAACGAGAACCAUUCUUUCGGGAGUGGGGAAAGUGGCGAACGGGUGAGUAACACGUAGGUAAUCUACCCUCGAGUGGGGAAUAAUUCCGGGAAACUGGUUGUAAUACCGCAUAACAUCCCGGUGGGACCUCCCACUGGAAUUAAAGGCUUCGGCCGCUUGAGGAUGAGCCUGCGUCCCAUUAGCUAGUUGGCAGGGUAAAAGCCUACCAAGGCGACGAUGGGUAGCUGGUCUGAGAGGACGACCAGCCACACUGGGACUGAGAUACGGCCCAGACUCCUACGGGAGGCAGCAGUGAGGAAUAUUGCGCAAUGGCCGAAAGGCUGACGCAGCAACGCCGCGUGGAUGAUGAAGCACUUUUGUGUGUAAAAUCCUGUUGAGAGGGAAGAAACUCCGCUUCUGGCGGACUGACGGUACCUCUAAAGAAAGCUCCGGCCAACUCCGUGCCAGCAGCCGCGGUAAUACGGGGGGAGCAAGCGUUGUCCGGAUUUAUUGGGCGUAAAGGGCGCGUAGGUGGGUUGGUAAGUGUGUGGUGAAAUCCCGAGGCUUAACUUCGGAAUCGCCUUUCAUACUGCCAGUCUCGAGUGCGAGAGGGGAAGAUGGAAUUCCUGGUGUAGCGGUGGAAUGCGUGGAUAUCAGGAAGAACACCGGUGGCGAAGGCGGUCUUCUGGCUCGUAACUGACACUGAGGCGCGAAAGCGUGGGGAGCAAACAGGAUUAGAUACCCUGGUAGUCCACGCUGUAAACUAUGGACACUAGGUGUUGGAGGAUUCGACCCCUUCAGUGCCGCAGCUAACGCGUUAAGUGUCCCGCCUGGGGAGUACGGUCGCAAAGCUGAAACUCAAAG
rnacentral:rRNA from 1 species